UGGGCUUUGAAUCUCAACAAACGUUUUAUGAAAGAGAACUAUAAUACUUACGAGCCUGGAUUCAGGGAGCCAGACUCCUUGGGUUUGAACCCUAGCUUUGUAGGCUGCUGUGAGUGUUUCAUGAUUGGUGUUCCGAUGCCUAGAACAGAACCAGGCACAUGGUCUUCUGCUGGAGCCUCUCUUUGAUCGCACCCUAUCUGAAGCCAGAGGCAAGAGAGCUCACAGAUGCAGACCAUAAAGUGAGCCACUGGCACCAAGCAGGGGCAUGAGGGUGGCAAGUGGAUCUGAAGGGCAAAAGGUGAAUAUCUUGUACAGUGUAUUCUAUAAAAUCUAAUACAUGCU